rnacentral:rRNA from 1 species
UAUAUCAGAACUGUGGGGACACAGGGGGAGAGCAUAACCGCGGCAUGGAGCUGCGGGCAAGCGGAAGAGGAGCCUGAUAGGAAAAACCGUCAAGCAAUCCAAAGCCGUGAUGCGGACCGAACUAAAGUAGGGAAGUAUGUGAGCCAACUGUCAAGAAAAGCCGCUAUUGUGUAUACAGCACCCGUACCAUAAACCGACACAGGUGGAUGAGGAGAGAAUCCUAAGGCCGACGGAAGAAGCAUUGUCAAGGAACUCGGCAAAAUGACCCCGUAACUUCGGGAGAAGGGGUGCCUCGCAAGAGGCCGCAGAGAAUUGGCCCAAGCAACUGUUUAGCAAAAACACAGGUCUAUGCAAAACCGUAAGGUGAGGUAUAUGGGCUGACGCCUGCCCGGUGCUGGAAGGUUAAGAGGAGAGGUUAGAGCAAUCGAAGCUUUGAAUUUAAGCCCCAGUAAACGGCGGCCGUAACAAUAACGGUCCUAAGGUAGCGAAAUUCCUUGUCGGGUAAGUUCCGACCCGCACGAAAGGCGUAAUGAUUUGGGCGCUGUCUCGACAAUGCAUCCGGUGAAAUUGAAGUACCAGUGAAGAUGCUGGUUACCCGCGCCAGGACGGAAAGACCCCAUGGAGCUUUACUCCAGCUUGAUACUGGGAUUCGGUACUGCAUGUACAGGAUAGGUGGGAGGCUAUGAGCCGGUGACGCCAGUUGCCGGGGAGCCGCUGUUGGGAUACCACCCUUGCGGUAUUGGAUUUCUAACACGCCGCCGUGAACCGGCGGGUGGACAAUGUCAGGCGGGGAGUUUGACUGGGGCGGUCGCCUCCGAAAGGGUAUCGGAGGCGCCCAAAGGUUCCCUCAGAAUGGUUGGAAACCAUUCGCAGAGUGCAAAGGCAGAAGGGAGCUUGACUGUGACACCGACGGGUGGAACAGGUACGAAAGUAGGGCUUAGUGAUCCGGUGGUAUUAAGUGGGAAUGCCAUCGCUCAACGGAUAAAAGCUACCCUGGGAUAACAGGCUUAUCACUCCCAAGAGUUCACAUCGACGGAGUGGUUUGGCACCUCGAUGUCGGCUCAUCGCAUCCUGGGGCUGUAGUAGGUCCCAAGGGUUGGGCUGUUCGCCCAUUAAAGCGGUACGCGAGCUGGGUUCAGAACGUCGUGAGACAGUUCGGUCCCUAUCCGGCGUGGGCGCAGGAUAUUUGAGAGGAGCUGUCCUUAGUACGAGAGGACCGGGAUGGACCGACCGCUGGUGCACCGGCUGUUCCGCCAGGAGCAUAGCCGGGUAGCCAAGUCGGGCAGGGAUAAACGCUGAAGGCAUCUAAGCGUGAAGCCCCCCUCAAGAUGAGAUAUCCCAUGCGAAAGCAAUAAGACCCCUUGAAGACGACGAGGUAGAUAGGUCAGAGGUGGAAGCACAGCAAUGUGUGGAGCUGACUGAUACUAAUAGGUCGAAGGCUUAUCCGA